AUCAGGCACACUUACACCAAGCCCAUGACACCUUGCUUAGCCACACCCUCAAGGGACCUCAGCAGUGAUAAACAUUAAGCCAUAAGUGAAAACUUGACUUAGUUAAAGCUAAGAGGGCCGGUAAAACUCGUGCCAGCCACCGCGGUUAUACGAGAGACCCAAGUUGAUAAACACCGGCGUAAAGCGUGGUUAUAUUAAUAUUUACACUAAAGCCAAACAUCUUCAAAGCUGUUAUACGCAACCGAAGACAGGAAGUUCACCCACGAAAGUGGCUUUAUUAGACCCGAACCCACGAAAGCUAAGGAACAAACGAGGAUUAGAUACCCCCCUAUGCCUAGCCCUAAACAUUGGUAGUACUAUACACCCACUACCCGCCAGGGUACUACGAGCAACAGCUUAAAACCCAAAGGACUUGGCGGUGCUUUAGACCCACCUAGAGGAGCCUGUUCUAGAACCGAUAACCCCCGUUCAACCUCACCCCUCCUUGUUUUACCC
rnacentral:rRNA from 1 species